UAUCAUUUGCUUUGCUUAAUGUUUCUUAGUUUAACUUACUAAUCUCUUGUCUGUGUAUUUUUUGCUGCCACAGGGGAUCCAAAUAGGUUGCAACUAGGAGUAAAAUAUGUGUCUAAACUGAUCGGCUGGUGCGAAAAUCGACGACCAAGAUCCAGUUAUGUGUAUUGCAGGACAACACCUUUCAUUAGAUACACUUUGAUGCUAUUUCUAGCAUGAAUUUCUAUUUCAGACUUAAAACUAAAAUUCUGAACAACUAAAAUCGCUCUUGUUCCUUAUUUUUGUAGGGCGGUUCCUCUCGUUUUACUGGUUCGUCCGCUCCUUCAUGAUUGAUGUACUGGUUCUGGCCGCUCCUUCGUGAUAGACUCGGUUAACUCUUUGUUAGCCUUGUGGGUCGUAAUUCUUUCUCUCCAGACGCAUAUACUGCCUGAUGUAUUGCUCAUGCUCAUUCUGUACCAAGAUAGACCUAAUAUCCGUAGGGUUGUAGAUUGAUUUCCCCUGAAAAUGCUAUGCUUCUUUCCUUGGAUGAUAAGCAUGUUCCGCAGCUAUGUGGAAUUCUUAAGAUAAACGGUCUUUAGUUUCUUUUGGUGCAUCUGCGUGCACAUAACAGUCUGUUAGUUUCUCAGUCUGUUAGUUUCUCUUUAUAUAAUGAAAAAAAUAUGUUGUUGUCUCUUGUUUAUUAUUAUCUAUCAUUUGUAGAUUGAUUUUUAGGCCACCAGUACUUGUAUGUAUAAUUUCUAGUCUCUUGAAUGAAUAAUUUUUCUUUAUGUCUCAUGCGUCUUGUGCUACUACUUACUACAUACAUCUGUCGUGAAGUACAUGGUUCCGGAACUAUGGUAACCCGUAGUUUGCUCUACCCGUGAUAGUAGGAUGAUGGAAGCAUCACUACUGAAUGUAGUUCAUGUUUCUUCAUAUAAUCAUCAUUUACUAGAGUUUCUCUUCUUCCCGCUACUACUUGGUUUUUGAUGCCACUAGCUUGUACUGAAAUGUAAACACAUCAUAUUGUUUUCAUCAGACCAGUGUACCUUGAGCAUGCAAAGUAAACACAUGCUACUCCACUUAUCUAUUUGUACAUAAACUUUUGUUUAAAUAAACCAAGCUAAUAAACCAAACGGUCGAACACAUUCAGUUCUGAAAUUUGUCUACUCCACUUGUUUGAUUGUACUAAAACCUUUGUUUGCAUUUUUCUAAAAUAUAGAGAAGAACACCCUGUGUUCUGGUAAAAUAUUUGUUUGCUAUGAUAUGAAAUUCCAUGAUGUGUGUGUUGUUUCAGUUUCUGUAGCUACAACAAAGUCCUAGUUUACUCUGUACUUGCUUUUGAUGAUUGCUGGCUAAAUUUACAGUUGAAAUAAUAGUAGCCAAGGAGUAGAUACAAGACGUAUUUAUCGUAUUUUGCAUGGAAUGUUAAAAAUCAGUUUUGUUGUGGUUUCUUGUUCUGUGAGUCAAAUUGCAUAAGAUGGGAGUAUCACAACAUGCAUAUACUGAAGAUGGGAGUAUCACAACCUGAAUGUGCAACUUAUGUAGUUUCUGUAUUUUUGUUAAAGCAUGGAGUAGCUUCUAUAGUUUUUGUAUUUUUUUAAAGCAUGGAGUAGCUUCUAUAGUUUCAGUAUUUCUGUAUUUUCGUUAAAGCAUGGAGUAGCUUCUAUAGCUUCCUCACAAGUUAAUGCUUCGCUCGUCCGGGUGUGUGAUAAUGCCAUUUGUCUUGUGCAAUCAGAUUACAUUUCUGUUUGUUAUGGUAAUAUAAAAAAUAUUCGUGCUGUCAAAAUUUUCACAGUGUGUGUCUUUCAUUUCUUUAAUUUGAUUGUUUCCCUUGUAUUCAAUAUGCUUCUAGUGGCUGAUCCUUCCAUUUUUGUUGUGGCAUCUUUAUUUUCACAGGUGUUGUGUGUUCUGGAAGAUGGAAGAGGAAGAAAUUGUUGAACUAAAUUUUUUGUAUUCUGUUUUGUUGUACGUAUCAUUUGAUAGUUUUGUAUAGGAACAAGUGAU
rnacentral:lncRNA from 1 species